rnacentral:piRNA from 1 species
UGACCUCCUUGAACAAGAGAACAGAUGGCUC